rnacentral:lncRNA from 1 species
GGGGAGGAGCUACAGGGUGCUGUGCGGGGAGAAUAGUGGGAGCUGAGGCAUGGGGCACAGGGUUUUAUAAAGAGAGCAUGAUCUAAGCUUGGUUCUAACAUUGUCUACUGGAGAUGGCAUCAGAACCAACAAAUUCUGGAGUGUCUCAGGAUUGCCCCGCCCCCACCUCCGCUUCAGACCGACUGCAGAUAAUGGUUGUGAAUCACCAUGUGGUUGCUGGGAAUUGAACUCAGGACCUCUGGAAGAGCAGUCAUUGCGCUUAACCACUGAGCCAUAUCUCCAGCCACCUGACGUGAACUCUUCAGCGACAGGCUAGCCUCUGCCUCUUGAGUGCUGGGAUUAAAGGCAUGUACUACUCU